rnacentral:lncRNA from 1 species
AUUUCAAUUAUUUUAUUAAAUUAAUAUUUACAAUUUCAUGCAAAAAUGACCUGAUUUAACCCUAUAUAAAGAAGUCACUUUUGUUUCCAUAAAAUCAUAACCAAAGUCAUUUAACUAUAAGGGAGAAAUUAUGAUCCCAAUGGCCUCUUCUUCAUUCACUUUUCUGUUGGCAAUACUCAUACUAAGUUUGACAUCUCAAAUCUCAGCAGACAACUACGAAUAUUCCGAUCUACCACCGCCGUCGCCACCACCACCAAAAAUUUCUUACCAUUACUCAUCUCCUCCCCCAUCACCACCACCACUUCGAAAACCUUAUUACUAUUACAAGUCUCCACCUCCACCAUCACCUCAUAGAAAACACUACAGACACCUCUCUCUCCAUCCCACUACUAAAAGCUAACACUUUCUUAGGAUAAAAAAACAGUCCCAAAUAAAGUAAAGAUGAUUAUUGGAUGGAUGGAACAACAACAGCACAACUACGAGGAGAAAUGAAUGUGUUUUAGAGGACAUUAAUUUCAUUUUGAUUUUACAUUUUCUUAUAAAUAAGAAAAGUAUGUUUUUUAUUAUCUUUAAUUUAUUUGGUAUUUGUUAUUGUUUGACAGCACUUGUCCUGAUCAGAUCCAAUGGAAUCGUUGAAAUCACUUUGGUCAUUAUCAGCGAGGGCUAGUCUGUCCAAUUAUCACAUGAUAUAUACAUAAAUAAAUGUUGUUUUAUAUGAUAUUUCACAUGUGUGACUGUUUAUCAUGCAAGUACACUUUGAUCUUUUAGUUGAAAACUAUAAAAUUAGAACUCCUGAUACGGAUACGGACACUUCCACAUCCAUAUGUAAAAAAUUUAGGAUACGAGCAACAUUAUAUAUGUCAUAAUAUUUAAGUUACAUUUAAUUAUUUAAUAUUAAAAGAGUUAAAAUAUUCUAACCAAAAUUAAUAUAUUUAAUUCUUCGAUAAAAUUGUUUCAAUACAUAUUUAACU